AAGUCGUAACAAGGUUUCCGUAGGUGAACCUGCGGAAGGAUCAUUAACACGUAUCCACGUUUUAUCAACAAUACAACGAACUGUGCUCCCUGUUAGUUGACCUCGGUGCUGUUCAGUAAGGUUCUAGUGGGUCCGCAAGGACAUACUGAGCUGAACUAUCAAUCCUUUGAGAUUGUGGCGUCGCAACUAGCUAGCAGGCUUACUAACUCUCACUGCCCGUAGUGCAAACUGUUUCCAACCACUUUGGGCGGCAGUGAGGACCCCAUACCAAUUUCACCCUGUUUUGCCCAUUUGACUAAUUAUUAUAUUCUUGGAGAGAAAUCUUCUUGAAUUCUAAGAUUUAUCUUAACUAAGCACAACUCUUAGCAAUGGAUAUCUUGGUUCUC
rnacentral:misc_RNA from 1 species